rnacentral:rRNA from 1 species
AUUGAACGCUGGCGGCAUGCUUUACACAUGCAAGUCGAACGGGAACAUGCCUUCGGGUGCUGCCGAGUGGCGUACGGGUGAGUAAUGCAUCGGAACGUUCCCAGAGAUUGGGGGUAACGCAGCGAAAUCUGUGCUAAUACCGCAGGUGAUCUGAGUAUUAAAGCUUGGAACCAGGCAGCAUGGUUUGGCCUCGCGCCUUGGGAGCGGCCUAUGUCAGAUUCGGUAGAUGGUGGGUUAAAGGCAUACCAAGCCUACGAUCGGUAGCUGGUCUGAGAGGAAGAAUCGACAGACUGGGUGUGAGACACGGCCGAGACACCUACGCGAGGACGCAGCGGGGACUUCUGGAGGAUGGGGCAAUGCCGAAUAUAGCAAUGUCGCGUGAGGCCAGAUGCAGUUCUGGUUGUAAAGCGAUUUUGUCCGGAACGUAAAGGAUCUCGCUAAUACCUGGUGAUGAUGACGGUACCGUAAGAAUAAGCACCGGCUAACUCCGUG